GCUCGCUGCACAUCAGGUCCCCAAUGCUCCUUUAUGAGAAGCGAUGCCUGCAUUGUCACUGUAAAAAAAAUAUGGGAGGUUAACUAUAGCAUUAGGGAUUCAGGUUUGUAAUUCAUUCUUUCUUUUCAGUGAAUUAGAUUUUUAUUUUGCAGGUCCUCGGCAACAGAUGUUAUAAGUAAAAGGUGAAACCAAGUGGGCUGCACUCACCUGAACAUGCAUU